rnacentral:rRNA from 1 species
GAGUUUGAUCCUGGCUCAGAACGAACGCUGGCGGCAGGCUUAACACAUGCAAGUCGAACGCCCCGCAAGGGGAGUGGCAGACGGGUGAGUAACGCGUGGGAACAUACCCUUUCCUGCGGAAUAGCUCCGGGAAACUGGAAUUAAUACCGCAUACGCCCUACGGGGGAAAGAUUUAUCGGGGAAGGAUUGGCCCGCGUUGGAUUAGCUAGUUGGUGGGGUAAAGGCCUACCAAGGCGACGAUCCAUAGCUGGUCUGAGAGGAUGAUCAGCCACAUUGGGACUGAGACACGGCCCAAACUCCUACGGGAGGCAGCAGUGGGGAAUAUUGGACAAUGGGCGCAAGCCUGAUCCAGCCAUGCCGCGUGAGUGAUGAAGGCCUUAGGGUUGUAAAGCUCUUUCACCGGAGAAGAUAAUGACGGUAUCCGG